GAGGACAAGCCACACCCUCGCGCUCUGCGUGGCUCCGCCUCCUCCCAGCCGGCUGCUUUCCGCGCUCCGCAUCUCGCAUCUGUCAGUCGCUGCUUCGUCGCCGGCGGAACAAGAUGGCGGCUCGGACUAUGCAAGCUGCGAGAUGUCCCACGGACGAACUCUCCUUAAGCAACUGUGCGGUGGUCAACGAAAAGGACUUUCAGUCUGGCUUGCAUGUAGUUGUGAAGACCUCCCCGAACCACAAAUACAUUUUUACGCUAAGAACUUACUCCUCCGUUGUCCCAGGCAGCAUUGCCUUCAGUUUACCGCAGAGAAAAUGGGCUGGACUUUCCAUCGGGCAAGACAUCGAUGUUUCCGUGUAUAACUUUGAUAAGACCAAGCAGUGCGUUGGCACAAUGACUAUUGAGAUAGACUUCCUGCAGAAGAAGAGCGUCGACUCCAACCCGUAUGAUUCUGACAAAAUGGCGGCCGAGUUUAUCCAGCAGUUCAACAACCAGGCAUUCACAGUGGGGCAGCAGCUUGUGUUUAGCUUCAACGACAAGCUUUUUGGCCUCUUGGUCAAGGACAUUGAAGCCAUGGAUCCCAGUAUUCUUAAAGGAGAGCCGGCCACAGGGAAAAAACAGAAGAUCGAAGUUGGUCUUGUCGUUGGCAACAGCCAGGUUGCGUUUGAAAAGGCCGAGAGCUCUUCCCUCACUCUCAUUGGCAAAUCCAAAACCAGAGAAAAUCGCCAGUCGAUCAUCAACCCUGACUGGAACUUUGAGAAGAUGGGCAUUGGGGGUCUUGAUAAGGAGUUCUCUGACAUCUUCCGGCGGGCCUUUGCCUCCCGAGUGUUCCCACCUGAGAUUGUGGAACAGAUGGGCUGCAAGCACGUCAAAGGCAUCCUGCUGUUUGGUCCCCCUGGCUGCGGCAAGACCCUUAUGGCCAGGCAGAUUGGCAAGAUGCUGAAUGCCAGAGAGCCCAAAAUAGUGAACGGGCCGGAAAUCCUCAACAAAUACGUCGGGGAGUCGGAGGCCAACAUUCGCAAGCUCUUUGCAGAUGCAGAAGAAGAACAGAGGAGGCUUGGUGCAAACAGCGGCGUCCACAUCAUCAUCUUUGAUGAAAUCGAUGCCAUAUGCAAGCAGCGCGGGAGCAUGGCGGGCAGCACCGGCGUCCACGACACGGUUGUGAACCAGCUGCUGUCAAAAAUUGAUGGGGUCGAGCAGCUAAACAACAUCUUGGUCAUUGGAAUGACCAACAGGCCGGACCUGAUAGAUGAGGCUCUCCUGCGACCUGGAAGACUGGAGGUGAAAAUGGAGAUUGGUUUGCCGGAUGAAAAGGGCCGGAUGCAGAUUCUUAACAUCCACACCUCAAGGAUGCGGACCCACCAGCUGUUGGCCUCAGAUGUUGACAUUUCGGAGCUGGCUGUAGAAACCAAGAACUUCAGUGGUGCUGAGCUUGAGGGUCUGGUCCGUGCAGCACAAUCCACUGCUAUGAACAGACACAUUAAGGCCACCACCAAAGUGGAAGUUGACAUGGAGAAGGCAGAGUGCCUGCAGGUGACAAGGGUAGACUUCUUAACUUCUCUGGAGAAUGACAUCAAGCCGGCAUUUGGGACCAAUCAGGAGGAUUAUGCAAGCUACAUCAUGAAUGGGAUCAUGAAAUGGGGUGACCCUGUCACUCGGGUGCUGGACGACGGAGAGCUUCUUGUUCAGCAGGCCAAAAACAGUGACCGUACCCCGUUGGUCAGCGUCCUUUUGGAAGGUCCCCCACACAGCGGAAAGACGGCCUUGGCUGCAAAGAUUGCAGAAGAAUCUAACUUCCCAUUUAUCAAGAUCUGCUCUCCAGAUAAGAUGAUUGGCUUUUCAGAAACUGCCAAAUGCCAGGCGAUGAAGAAGAUCUUUGACGAUGCUUACAAGUCUCAGCUCAGCUGCGUUGUGGUGGACGACAUUGAAAGACUCCUAGAUUACGUUCCGAUUGGCCCCCGGUUCUCCAACCUAGUGUUACAGGCUCUUCUGGUGCUGCUGAAGAAAGCGCCCCCUCAUGGUCGUAAGCUCUUGAUCAUUGGGACCACCAGUCGCAAGGAUGUCCUGCAGGAGAUGGAGAUGCUGGAUGCUUUCAGCACAACUAUCCAUGUUCCCAAUAUUGCUACAGGAGACCAUCUCAUGGAAGCCCUGGAGCUCCUGGGCAGCUUUAAAGACAAGGAACGCUCCACCAUUGCCCAGAACGUCAAAGGGAGGAAGGUCUGGAUUGGGAUCAAGAAGCUUCUGAUGUUGAUUGAGAUGUCAAUGCAGAUGGAUCCCGAGUACCGUGUGCGAAAAUUCCUGGCACUUCUAAGAGAAGAAGGAGCGCCAUUGGAUGUCAAUCAGCCCAAGGCCCUGUUGAAGAGAAACGUUUUCGCCUGGCACCUGAAGGUGUAUAUUGAAAGUGCCCGGCAAACCUCCCUGGGAAGAGCAUUCCACAAAUGGGGAGCCACUGCAUAGAAGGCCCCGUUCUUAUGUUUCCACCCUCCGGACCUCUCGAGGAGGAGGCACACGAAGGAGGGCUUCAGAAGAUGAUCUCAGGGUCCGGCUUGGAGGAUUAAUGCCUGAUGCACGGCCAUCUUUGUGACUCCGCAUGCGCUUCCCAUCUCUGGAUGCCCAGCUGCGUGUGCCACUCACCACCCCUCCCCCAAGAUAUGCCCGCCCUUUGUGGAACCGGUUGCCCUCUUUUUCUUUGCAGCAGCCCGCUGGACUAAGAGGGAAGCCUUGGGCAGAAGCCGGUGGCUGGGGAAGAAGCCAAGCGAGAGCCCACCUCCUCCUCCUCCUCCUCUUCCGUGUGGUGUGUCUGGACAAGAGCCUAACGUUCAGCCUCCUUCAGAGACUCCCCUCAACCCUCCUCUUUGCAUGUCGGACGCAGCCGAACACUCUGCCCUUUGUUAUCUAUCGUCCUCGAUAUCCUGGUGUCUCGUGGCAAAUCAAAACUCUCUAUCUAGAGUAACUGCUUUCGUAUUAUGCUGCCUGCCGCACCUGCUCACUUGGUUUUGGCGCACAGGGGGGAGGGAAAUGAACGUGCCCCAUGCAGGCCUGUCCAUGUUAACGCGCAAUCUGGCAGUAGCCCCUAAGGCCCCAAACACAGGGAAGUCCUCCUCAUUCCAGACCCGUGUAUGGUCCUCCGUAAAGCUGCUGGUAUCCCCAAGUUCCCCCUUUCUCCCACACAUUCACACAAGCGGUUUGGUCCUUGUGGGCCAAUACUGCGCUGUGGAGCUUCAGACUCGUCCCAGCGGAAAACGGAGAAUGAAGUAUUCAUCACAAGACCAGGAUCCAGAGAGAGUUUUUAGGAAAGAGGGGAAAUGGUGGCUGCACCCUUCCCUUCAGAGGCUCAACAACAUUUGCAGUGGUGGCGGCUAGUUAAUUCCCAGUGGCUAUUGGCCACUGGGCAUGGACUUUGGACACCCAGCCGGACUUUGGUGCACUAAAGCAGGGGUAGACAGCGCAGGGCUACCCCGAUGCUGUUGGACUUCAGCUCCCAUCAUCCCUGACCAUUGACCAUGCCGGCUGGGGCUGAUGGAAUUUGUAGUCCCCCACCGCACCCGCAUGGGCUAUCGCUUUGCUAAUGGUUUCCUAUAAAACAGGCAGCGUGGUCCCACCCGUAGAUGCAGACAGCUUAGUAUUCCUGCAAAAGUUUGAAAACAGCCUGCAGCUUUCUGUUGCGGUGCCCUUCCUCGCUGGAGUCUGGCCCCUUGUGAUGUCCCGCAGAUCUGUCGCAGGAGGCCUGGUGUGCAGUUUCCUCCGUAUGCGGUUGCCACAGGCAUGAGCGCAUAGCGAUCUUCCCAGGUGGCUAUCAGAGACCUUGGUCUCUGCUGUCGGCUUCUUGCUUUUCAGCGUAGCGGCAUCCCAAAGGCGGAAAGCUGUUAAGCUUCUUCCAGAGAGGCUUCCUCUGCAAUAGUGAACCAAUAGUCCCAUUUGCUCUUGGGAAACCACCAAGCAAUGUUUACGUUAGAGCCGGAUUAGUUAUUCCACCUGUCGCCACCGCCCGGCUGCGUUUUAUUGCAGAACUUGCCACCUGGAUCCUGCCUGUACCAUCAAGAAGUUUCCCUGUCAUAUCAGCAGCAAUUUUCCAGCCGGUUUGGGAGUGAGGAAACUACUUGAGAGGGGCACAUAGUACCGAGUUCUGCUAAGCCCAUAGGGACAGGAGGGUAAGAAAUUAAUUACAGAGGUUCUGCUUCCUCUGAAUCAGCUCUUAACACUCCUCUGUAGAAAUACAGAUGGUUUAAUGGCCCUGAAUAAUCUUCCUCCACCUCAUCCACAACACAAGCGAGUGGCUGGACCGACCUUCCGUCUUGCUGAAACCCCCCUAUAUAUCACUGACGGGGUCCUCAUUCCCCACCUCUCCCAAGUUGCUACAAUCAGGCAGCUGAAAACUACACUUGACUCCUUUCCGCCCUGUGCAGCAAAAGGAAAACAGGUGUUAGAAGUUGCUGCAAUGUACUUGAAUCACAAUGGAUGCAUUUAUUAUAACGUGGGUUAGCAGCUUUAUCCUCUUUUUUAGUUUCACCCCCCCUUUUUUUAGUGUUGAGGAUUAUGUGAAUCCCUGGUGGAGCUGUAAAAUCCCCUCUUCAGUUGUGCGAUUGCUCUGUUUCCAGCUGCACCUUUGCCUCCACCCCCCCUCCCCACCCGGCCCAAAUCUCAAGAACCUUCUCCUUUCUCCACCUUCUUUCAUCUUCCAGCGAAAGGGAAACACACAUGUUGUAUUUAACGUAACGUCUUGGAACCAAAUGAUGUAAAACAUUUUUAUUGUGGUUUUUUUUUCCUUUUUUGUCCAAAGCUAUAUUCACAGAGAGAGAGAAAAAUACAAAUUUAUAUGUAUAUAUUGAUUGAUUGUAUGUUUAAAACGCAGGUAAACUGAUGCAAUAAAAAGGCACAGAUA